GCGGGUGUAGCUCAAUGGUAGAGCCCCAGCCUUCCAAGCUGGCCAUGCCGGUUCGAUCCCGGUCACCCGCUC
rnacentral:tRNA from 3 species